AGAGUUUGAUCCUGGCUCAGGAUGAACGCUGGCGGCGUGCCUAACACAUGCAAGUCGAGCGAGAAGCUCGUGACGGACGCUUCGGUUGAAGUCACGAGUGGAAAGCGGCGGACGGGUGAGUAACGCGUAGGCAACCUGCCCUUUGCAGAGGGAUAGCCUCGGGAAACCGGGAUUAAAACCUCAUAAUACCGCAGUGAGACAUCUCACGGCGGUCAAAGAUUUAUCGGCAAAGGAUGGGCCUGCGUCUGAUUAGUUAGUUGGUGGGGUAACGGCCUACCAAGGCGACGAUCAGUAGCCGACCUGAGAGGGUGAUCGGCCACAUUGGAACUGAGACACGGUCCAAACUCCUACGGGAGGCAGCAGUGGGGAAUAUUGCACAAUGGGGGAAACCCUGAUGCAGCAACGCCGCGUGAAGGAUGAAGGCCUUUGGGUCGUAAACUUCUGUUCUAAGGGAAGAUAGUGACGGUACCUUAGGAGCAAGUCCCGGCUAACUACGUGCCAGCAGCCGCGGU
rnacentral:rRNA from 1 species